GAGGACUUCGGUCCGAGUGAAGUCGAAGGAAAGCGGCGGACGGGUGAGUAACGCGUGGGUAACCUGCCCCAUACAAUGGGAUAGCCACUGGAAACGGUGAUUAAUACCAUAUAAUGCUUUAGAAUCGCAUGAUUCAGAAGCUAAAGAUUUAUCGGUAUGGGAUGGACCCGCGUCUGAUUAGCUAGUUGGUGAGGUAACGGCUCACCAAGGCGACGAUCAGUAGCCGACCUGAGAGGGUGAUCGGCCACACUGGAACUGAGACACGGUCCAGACUCCUACGGGAGGCAGCAGUGGGGAAUAUUGCACAAUGGGCGCAAGCCUGAUGCAGCAACGCCGUGUGAGUGAUGAAGGCCUUCGGGUCGUAAAACUCUGUCCUAUGGGAAGAAAACAAUGACGGUACCAUAGGAGGAAGCCCCGGCUAAC
rnacentral:rRNA from 1 species